rnacentral:lncRNA from 1 species
UGUACAUAGUGAUGAAAAAAUUAAAUAAUAUUUAUUAAUUCAACCAUUCAUAUACAAUUAUAAUAAUAAGCUCAACCAUCAACAGGCUGACGAUUGACUUUAGGACAUAAUUUUUAACAACUCUCACUUGGACUAAAGCCAAUCGGUACAGUAUCGUAUACCCAUCUUUGAUUUGUAGUCUUAGAACUCCUUGACAUCGAGGGCUUUAGUAAAUGGGUCGGCC